AUUCAACUGACGAACUCCAAAUAGGACGAAACGCGCGUCCUGGAU
rfam:Schistosoma curassoni strain Dakar, Senegal genome assembly, scaffold: SCTD_scaffold0005008